rnacentral:rRNA from 1 species
GACGAACGCUGGCGGCGUGCUUAACACAUGCAAGUCGAACGGAAAGGCCCUUCGGGGUACUCGAGUGGCGAACGGGUGAGUAACACGUGGGUAACCUGCCCUCAGCUUCGGGAUAACUCCGGGAAACCGGGGCUAAUACCGGAUAUUCAUUGUCUGCCGCAUGGUGGGUGGUGGAAAGUUUUUUCGGCUGGGGAUGGGCCCGCGGCCUAUCAGCUUGUUGGUGGGGUGAUGGCCUACCAAGGCGUCGACGGGUAGCCGGCCUGAGAGGGCGACCGGCCACACUGGGACUGAGACACGGCCCAGACUCCUACGGGAGGCAGCAGUGGGGAAUAUUGCGCAAUGGGCGGAAGCCUGACGCAGCGACGCCGCGUGAGGGAUGACGGCCUUCGGGUUGUAAACCUCUUUCAGCAGGGACGAAUGUAGACGGUACCUGUAGAAGAAGCACCGGCCAACUACGUG